rnacentral:rRNA from 1 species
CCUGCAUGAAGUCGGAAUUGCUAGUAAUCGUAGGUCAGCAUACUACGGUGAAUACGUUCCCGGGCCUUGUACACACCGCCCGUCAAACCAUGAGAGUUGGCAACACCCGAAGUCGGUAGUCUAACCGCAGGGAGGACGCCGCCGAAGGUGGGGUUGAUGAUUAGGGUUAAGUCGUAACAAGGUAAC